UACGAAGGGUGCAAACGUUGCUCGGAAUUAUUGGGCGUAAAGCGCGCGUAGGCGGCUACCUAAGUCGGAUGUGAAAGCCCCUGGCUUAACUGGGGAAGUGCACCCGAAACUGAGUAGCUAGAGUGCGAAAGAAGGUCGCGGAAUUCCCGGUGUAGAGGUGAAAUUCGUAGAUAUCGGGAGGAACACCGGUGGCGAAGGCGGCGACCUGGGUCGACACUGACGCUGAGGCGCGAAAGCGUGGGGAGCAAACAGG
rnacentral:rRNA from 1 species